UUUUUAUAAAGCAGUUAGAAUUUUUUAAAGUUGUUUUGUUUUCUUGAGACAGAGUCUCUGUCUCCCAGGCUGGAGUAUAGUGGCAAGAUGAUGGCUCACUGCAACCUCAAACCCCUGGGCUCAAGUGAUCCUCUCACCUCAGCCUUCUGAGUAGCUGGGACUACAGGCACAUGCCAUGGUACCCAACUAAUUUUUAAAGUUUUUUGUAGAGACAGGGUCUUGCUUUGUUGCCCAGGCUGUUCUCAAACUGUUGGCCUCAAGCAAUCCUCUUGCCUUGGCCUCCCAAAGUGUUGGGAUUACAGGUAUGAGCCACCACACCUGGCAAAAAGUUUUUAUUCUUAACAUUUAGUCACUUGGAAAACUCACUGACUUAGAAUUUUAUAUAACAAUAAAUGAGGUAUUUUUGUAUUUGGCUUUGCUACUCCGUUUGCCCACUUCCAAGUCUACGACUUGAGCACUAAAUGCUAACAUAAUUCAAGAGUACAGUAUGAUGAAGUGAACAUGCUGGGAUAGUUUUUCUUUAAUGAGGGGAGUUGGCUAACACAUCCAGCUAGUUAUUUGACAUACAAAUACUAAUCAAUAAAUAUUUCUCAAGUAUAAGCUGUCAUAACUCACAAAAGAACAUUUACAUUCUUACCUCUAGAUAACCAAAGUUCUCCCAUCCGUACCUCUUGCAAGAAAAGUUCUUGCAACUUUUUAUUCUUCGUUGGAUCCCACAACUAAAAUAUUCAUAAAAUAUUCAACAAUGAGUAAUGAAGAUGCUCCAGGUAAAUGUAAUGCAGCAAUGGACCAUACUUUGGGAAAGUCCUGGGAAGAAGAGGAAGAAAGACCCUAGAAAAAGUGAGAAGAGACUCUUUAUCUGCUUUGGUUUAUUCAUGUGUAAAAUGAGAAUAGAGGCCAGGCACAGUGGCUCCCUCGUGUAAUCCCAACACUUCAGGAGGCCAAGGCCGGCAGACUGCUUGAGCUCAGGAGUUCAAGACCAGCCUGGGCAAUGUUGCGAAACCCAUCUCUGUAAAAGUACAAAAACUAGCCAGGCAUGGUGGUAUGCACCUGUAGUCCCAGCUAUUUAGGAGACUGAGGUGGGAGAAUCACCUAACCCCAAAAGGGUUGAGGCUGCAGUGAGCUGUGAUCAUUGCCACUGUACUCCAGCCUGGGCAACAGAGUGAGACCCUGUGUCAAAAAAAAAAAAAUUAGAAUAGAGUUGUGACAAUUAUAUGAAAGGACAUUUGAAAAUCCU
rnacentral:lncRNA from 10 species